rnacentral:lncRNA from 1 species
CACAGUUAGUGUAAAAAGAGCACAAUUAUUAAUUGAUAAAAUUAAAAUUAUUUGAUAAAAUUAAAAAUUAAAUAAAACAACAUGUCAAUUAAUCAAACAAAAAAAUAAAAAAAUAAAAAAACAUUAAUAUUUAUAUCAUUUAACCAAAAAACAACACAAAGAACUAUAUCUAAAAAACUUAUUUAUUUAUUCUAAAACUUCAUCUUCUUCAAGAUCGUACAACACAGGAUCCCAAACCAGCAACCACGACCAAACCAUCUGGAAAUAAAUCAAAGCCCAGAAACCCCAUAUUCCAGCAUGAACAGUUCGAAAAGUGAUUCAAAAAAGAAUUAGAUCCGAACAAGAUCCAGCUUCCAAAACCCCCAACACCAGCAGAUCUAAAAUCCCACACCCAUAAGAGAUCUACCAUAUCAAAUCAUUACUCCUCUUCCAGCUCGCAAAAAAUCAGAACCCUCAACUAUUCAUACAAAAAGCCCCAUAAUCUACAUGACCCAGAUCAUGAUUUUUAUUGCUCCAAAUAGAGAUCUCUCCCGUGUAGUUGUCAUGCUACCAAUUCGUGAAUUGAAUGAUCUGUCCAAGCUUUUAAUACAGAUCAUGGUGUUUUCUUCUUCUUAUGAGUUUGUGGCGAAGAUGGCGAUGGCCAUGAUCUUAGUUUCUUUCUCUCCCUGUAUAUAUUCCCUCUGUUUGGCUCCAAUUUCUAAUUCUAUAUAUACGCAAUCUGAUGUUCUUAAUUUCUUCGUAAUUAGAAGAAAAAUGGCUAU